UACAGAGGUCCCAAGCGUUGUUCGGAUUCAUUGGGCGUAAAGGGUGUGUAGGUGGCGCCGUAAGUCGGGUGUGAAAUUUCGAGGCUUAACCUCGAAACUGCAUUCGAUACUGCGGUGCUCGAGGACUGGAGAGGAGACUGGAAUUCAUGGUGUAGCAGUGAAAUGCGUAGAGAUCAUGAGGAAGACCAGUGGCGAAGGCGGGUCUCUGGACAGUUCCUGACACUGAGACACGAAGGCCAGGGGAGCAAACAGG
rnacentral:rRNA from 1 species